CUCUAGACCUUGACCAGCUAAAUCUCAAAGACUCAGAAUGUUUGCCAUUCUGUGUGGGAUACAGAGGCUUCCAGAAUCUGGUCGCCAGGCACAGACAGGUGGUCUGAGGAACCUUCUGAUCUAACUGGGACAGAUCAGAUAACCUCGGGUAGGCUUACCAGAGUGCUACAUCCAAGCCAGGAAAAUAAGAUAAUGGAGCAGCCCCACAUGUCCUCCUCCUUCUUUAUCCUUCACAAAUUCUCCAAAGUCUCUUGGGGAGAGAAGCACUAUGGACCCUCUGUGUAUAACAGGAUGACAUUCCACAUCUCUGGCUUUUGUCUCUAAAAAGCUAGCUCCUGGAGAAAUGGCUGAUCCUAUGUUCGAGACAGGGAAUAUACAAGAUGAGCCUGGAACAUCUUGCAAUUCUUAAAAAAUAGACUUUGAAUAGAGAAAAUACUACUGUUAUAGAAGAAAAACAAGGCAGAAACAAACAAACAUGGCAGACACCACUUUAACCAAGAGAUCAAGAGACUAAGAAAACCUAUGACCUCAAUCUAAUUAUGAGAACUACCUCAGGCAAACUGAAACUGAGAGAUGUUCUACAAAAUACCUGACCAGUACUCCCUCAAAACUGUCAAGGUCAUCAAAAACAAGAUUGAAGAAUUGCCACAGACCGGAGGAGACUCAGGAAGUUGACAACCAACUGCAAUGUGGCAUUCUGGAUUGGAUCCAGGAACAAAAAGAAGAAAAGCUGAUGAAAUCCAAAUAAAGAC
rnacentral:lncRNA from 1 species